CCCGGAGGAAGUGAGGGAACAACCGGUGCCUGGGGGUGUUAGGGGCAGCCGGGCAUUGAGGCCGGUGUGCCUGGAAUGGAGAGAGGGGCAGAAAGAAAGGACGGAAUCAUGACAGCAAUGGCUCAGUGUUGAGCAGGUGCCUGGCAAAGUGUUAGGUGCUCUAUGCAUAUUAUUUCUUUUAAGUCUCAGGACAGCCCAGACGUGGGCGCUACCAUUGUGUGAGAGGAAAUCAGGCUCAGGCAGGCUAAAUAACUUGCCCAUGGUCACACAGCAUUGGAGCCCAAGGAGACUGGCGUCAUUGCCUGAAACACCCAGGAGGCCCAGGGCAGGGUGACCUUGACCAAGUCUGGUCCUCUGUGCCGCGCCUCAGUUUCCUCCCAGAGUGCUAGAGGGAGAGGGUGUGACUGACCUCCUGAAGUGAAAGAUGGGUGGGCAGGGUCCUUUUGCUGACCAUCUGCCCAAAAGCCAGCUGGCUGUAAUUCAUACCCAGCAAAUGGGGCCCUGAAACCGAGCCUGAAAUCAGUGCACAGAACAAGGGCGUAGCAGGAGCCUUCGAGGAUGUCUGUUCUCUUGGGAGAGGCUUUUGUUGUCUGGGAAGCACUUGUCCCCCUUUCGGCUCUGGUGCAGGUACAAGUGGCUUUGGGGAGAGAGGGCAGAAGGCCCAGAGCCUGGAAGAGGCUGCUUCUGUGGGUGGUUGAGGGGAGCCCGGUGCGGCUGAGUGCUCCGGAGCAGUAACAGAGAUGGAGUCAGCCAGGCAGGCUGUGUGCCGGCAAGCAAGUGCAGAACAAGCAGAAUCCCCCAAACAUCCCUGUGAGUCUGGAGAGAUUCACACACGCACACACAAACACAAAACACACGAAACCCUCCCAUGUCUGCACCUGCAGCACAUUCUCUGACCGCUGCACAGACCAGAGGGUAAGAGCCUCAGGGCUACCGAUCUGGCUCUGCUGGCCAUGCUGACCGGUUCUCUGCUUUGGGAAGGGGGGGGAAAUGUUUUUGUGCUCCUGUGAAGAUCUGCUUAUGCCUCUGAUCCCGAGAAGGGCUGCGGGUUUCUAAUGGGGCAAGGAUGGCGAGUCUUCUGCAAUUUGCCCCUUCUCCAGCCUGGCACAGCCUCCAGCCUUGGCCUUUGGGCUGUGGUGUGAAAUGUGGCCCUGGGAGGGUUAGGGGUGCGACCCAGCCCCCUGUGUUGGAGUCUCCGGUCACUAGUCAGUCAGAGGUCCUGGUGGUAUAGGACCACAGCAGAACUUACCAUCAGGCCUAUUUGGUAGAUGCUCAGAAAGGUUAAGUGGUUUGCCUGAGCAUGCACAGCUGUAAAAGAGCAGAGAUGGGAUCCUAGUCCAAACCAUUUGACUGCAGAGCCCAAGCCCUGCCCCUCUGGGAGCUGAUUCACCCCUGUAGAGGGGAUACAUUUUGUGUUUGGCUUGAAGACCCCCCCACACACACAUACUCUGUGGGGUUGUAGGGGUGGCAGAUGGGAUGAUGACCAAAGGCGAUGGAGGCACUUUCUGCUUUUCUUCUCAACCACACCGUCCCCAGACCUUGUCACCAGGCCUUUGUGUCUGGGUCAAAUAGGUCAGUCCUUUCUCAUGGUGGGACUGGUGCAGGUGGGGCCAGAGGCACCUUGUGGGGUGCCGGCAGAGGGCUUCCUCUUCAUUAAGUUUGGGGGUCAGGUGAAUGACUCUCACUCUACCUGGGCGCCUAGGACCUCCCGUACACCCUGACCUUUAACUAAUGGGGCAGCUGGAGUUCUGGUCACUGACCAGGUGGGCCAAGAGUGUGGGAGUGUCCAGGUGGAGGUCUAGAGGUCUGAGGCGGCACAUGUGAGUCCUGAGACUCAUGUGGAUAAAUGUGGAUAGAAUGCCGGAAAGAGGUGAGGGCUGGUCCCCUCAGGUGAGUCUCCGUGCAUGGUUGCCUACUGAGCUGGUGAUAAUUCUGAGCCUUACAGCCCCAGUGGAUUCUCAAACUGAGAAACUUACUGAACUGGUGGUAGCAGAAUUCUCCAAUGACCCCCAAUGACCUUUGCCCUCGUAUACUCCUUCCCCUUGAGUGUGGGCGGAACCUGUGACUAUGGCAUCACUCCCGUGAUUAGGUUAUGUUAUAUGGCACAGUUGCCCUUGAGAUAGAUUAUCCAGGUGGGCCUGAUCUAAGCACACAAGACCUUUAAAAGCAGAGUUUUCUCCAGCUGCUUGUGGAAGAGGAAAUUAGAUUCAAAGCGAGAGAGGGAAUCAACGUGUGGGACCCUCUCUGUUCCUCAGAUGGUGGGGCCACGGGACAAGGUCCUGAGGAUGGUCUCCAGGAGCUGACAGUCCACAAGACAACGGGACGUCAGUCCUACAGCUGCAAGGGACUGAAUCCUGCCAACAAACAGUGACUUUGGAAGGGCAUCCUAGCCCCUGAUGAGAUUGCAGCCCCGCUGACACCUUGAUUUCACCCGGCAGGACUCUGAGCCGAGAGCCCAGCCAUGCCACACCUGUGAUAAACUGUACUGUUUCAAGCCAAUAAAUUUAUGGACAUUUGUUACACAGAAGCAGGAAAUGAAUACAUCAUCUAUCCAAGGAGAAGAACAGUAUUCUUGACACACAUGUAGGAUAAAAGUUUAAAACUGAGAAAAAUGCAUCCCCCCUCCCCGUGGGUGCUAUGUAGAGUGGAAACCUGCCUCGGUCUCUGUGCUGACGGUCUUCCUGGCUGCAGUUUCUUUCUUUUUUUUUUUUUUUGCGGUACGUGGGUCUCUCACUGUUGUGGCCUCUCCUGUUGUGGAGCACAGGCUCCAGACGCGCUGGCUCAGCGGCCAUGGCUCACAGGCCUAGCUGCUCCGCGGCAUCUGGGAUCUUCCCGGACCGGGGCACGAACACAUGUCCCCUGCAUCGGCAGGCGGAUUCUCAACCACUGCGCCACCAGGGAAGCCCCUGGCUGCAGUUUAAAUCCACAUUCUCAGGGCUCCCAUCUCUCAACUGAACCUCCAACCAGCCUCAGAAGAAGGCAGGUGUGUUCUGAGAAGGGCAGUGCUGAUCGCGCCAUCAGGGCAGCCAGAUGCCACUUUGGCUGAAGAAAGAAGCUCUGGAACCCUCUGCUGUAGGGGAUCCUUGUGAUUUCUGGGGCUCCCGGGACUUCUGGACAUCUUUAGGCCCAAUAAAGCUGUUUUUAACCUAACAGCUUUAUUUGGGCUUCCCUGGUGGCACAGUGGUUAAAAUCCACCUGCCAAUGCAGGGGACGUGGGUCCCAGCCCUGGUCCAGAAAGAUCCCACAUGCCACGGAGCAACUAAGCCCAGGUACCACAACUACUAAGCCUGCGCUCUAGAGCCUAUGAGCCACGACUACUGAAACCCUGCGAGCCUAGAGCCCGUGCUCCGCAACAAGAGAAGCCAACACAAUGAGAAGCCCGCGCACCGCAACGAAGAGUAGCCCCUGCUCGCUGUAACUAGAGAAAGCCAGUGUGCAGCACGGAAGACCCAGAGCAGCCAAAGACAAAAAACAAACAAAAAAACCCAACAUAACAGCUUUAUUAGAUAUAAUUCCCAUGCCAUAUAAUUCACCCAUCUAAAGU